GCUCAUUCCUGUUAGCUUCCAGACUUGUUCUUAUUGACUCUUUCUGACUCAUCACUCGGGACAAGGGCUCUCUACACUCUCUUCUAGCCCUCGCUCGUGCUCGCUCUCUCCCCCACCUUGCUAGGCCCAUUCUCUUCCCUGAGAAUGUAUUGCUAAUAAACCCUGCUUGAGUAUUAAUCAGCUUGCUGAACUUUGAUUCUUCACUGCAUUGGUAAGAAGAACCAAGACUCCCAUAACAGCUUCAUGUGGGAAAGAACUCAGAUAUGAGCCAAUAUAGAAUUUAAAGGGAAAGUAAGUUUAUUUAGCAGAGAGUAAGAAGAGGCCAUCCCACAGACAGAGUAGCAGUCUCUAAUUGCUAGUGAAGACAGACCCUCUCCAUCUGCUGGGUUAAGGUUUAUAUGUGAUUUCUUGUUUCUAUAAGAAAUUUCUUGGUAUGGGAAAAGGAGGAAAGAACAAUGGCCCAGCUCCCCCGGAUGAAAGGGGACACGAACUCUACUCAGCGCCAGUGGACUCUUGUCCGUCAGUGGGGAUGUCUCCCCUGCUGGCCACGGGGGACCAACCCGGGAGCACAGUGGAACCUGGAGGGCUACGGGAACCAGCUUGGGAGUGCCACCCGACCAGACAGUCUAGCUGUGGAGGACGUUGCUUCCCUGGCCCAAUUU